rnacentral:rRNA from 1 species
UGCAGUCGAACGAUGAAGCCCUUCGGGGUGGAUUAGUGGCGAACGGGUGAGUAACACGUGGGCAAUCUGCCCUUCACUCUGGGACAAGCCCUGGAAACGGGGUCUAAUACCGGAUAACACUUCCGUCCUCCUGGACGGUGGUUAAAAGCUCCGGCGGUGAAGGAUGAGCCCGCGGCCUAUCAGCUUGUUGGUGAGGUAAUGGCUCACCAAGGCGACGACGGGUAGCCGGCCUGAGAGGGCGACCGGCCACACUGGGACUGAGACACGGCCCAGACUCCUACGGGAGGCAGCAGUGGGGAAUAUUGCACAAUGGGCGAAAGCCUGAUGCAGCGACGCCGCGUGAGGGAUGACGGCCUUCGGGUUGUAAACCUCUUUCAGCAGGGAAGAAGCGAAAGUGACGGUACCUGCAGAAGAAGCGCCGGCUAACUACGUGCCAGCAGCCGCGGUAAUACGUAGGGCGCAAGCGUUGUCCGGAAUUAUUGGGCGUAAAGAGCUCGUAGGCGGCUUGUCACGUCGGUUGUGAAAGCCCGGGGCUUAACCCCGGGUCUGCAGUCGAUACGGGCAGGCUAGAGUGUGGUAGGGGAGAUCGGAAUUCCUGGUGUAGCGGUGAAAUGCGCAGAUAUCAGGAGGAACACCGGUGGCGAAGGCGGAUCUCUGGGCCAUUACUGACGCUGAGGAGCGAAAGCGUGGGGAGCGAACAGGAUUAGAUACCCUGGUAGUCCACGCCGUAAACGGUGGGAACUAGGUGUUGGCGACAUUCCACGUCGUCGGUGCCGCAGCUAACGCAUUAAGUUCCCCGCCUGGGGAGUACGGCCGCAAGGCUAAAACUCAAAGGAAUUGACGGGGGC